AGUGAACGCUGGCGGUAGGCCUAACACAUGCAAGUCGAACGGCAGCACAGGAGAGCUUGCUCUCUGGGUGGCGAGUGGCGGACGGGUGAGGAAUACAUCGGAAUCUACUCUGUCGUGGGGGAUAACGUAGGGAAACUUACGCUAAUACCGCAUACGACCUACGGGUGAAAGCAGGGGACCUUCGGCCCUUGCGCGAUUGAAUGAGCCGAUGUCGGAUUAGCUAGUUGGCGGGGUAAAGGCCCACCAAGGCGACGAUCCGUAGCUGGUCUGAGAGGAUGAUCAGCCACACUGGAACUGAGACACGGUCCAGACUCCUACGGGAGGCAGCAGUGGGGAAUAUUGGACAAUGGGCGCAAGCCUGAUCCAGCCAUACCGCGUGGGUGAAGAAGGCCUUCGGGUUGUAAAGCCCUUUUGUUGGGAAAGAAAUCCAGCUGGCUAAUACCCGGUUGGGAUGACGGCACCCAAAGAAUAAGCACCGGCUAACUUCGUGCCAGCCGCCGCAGUAA
rnacentral:rRNA from 1 species